GCAAGGCUGGAUGCUAGCCGCCCACAACUACUGGCACACAGCUCUCUUUCACAUCGAAUCCGCGGAAUAUGAGCCAGCGCUAGAGAUUUUCGAUCGAGAAAUUGUGAAACGAUCUAGCAAGGUUGAUGGUAGCUCACUGCUAUGGAGAUUGGAACUAGAAGGUGUCAAUGUUGGAAGGGAUCGGUGGGAGAAGAUAGAAAACCUCUCCAAAUUCAUCGGUGAUCACUCUUCUGUUAGUAAUGAUGUACAAAUAGGAAUUGCAACUUAUAUGCAAGAGGAUUUGGAGACAGAGAAGAAAUUGAGAGAUUCGUUGGUGAAGUAUUCAGAGUGAGUUGGAGCCUAGGCAGAGCAAAAUGUUUUUACUUCUAAAAUUAGCGCUCAUUAGCUGAGUCUACCAAUGUGCCUUCAGUGAUUGAUCCGAAGGGUGUAGAGAACCUGGGCUCCCAUUACGGUUUGAUCUACAAAAAAAUGCGGCAAAUGUGACGUCAGCACGUUUUUCACCAUGCGAAAUCGAAGUCUGCGUCUAAAUUCCCGCGACUCUCGUAGAUCAAAUCGAAACGGGACACUCUGACAUCACGUGGGGCUAAGAGAAUCAUCCAAGUUUUCUGGUUUUUGACACUAGGUGAUACAGAUCUAACAGAUAUUCAAAUAGGUGCAGCUGAUAAAAAACACAUUUUUUGCCGCACACAUCAAAAAUUUGACAAUGCAAUUUUGACCAAAACUAUUGAUUUUGUUUCCAAAAAAUGUAGUAAAAUUACACAAAAUUGAUUUAUUUUGAUGCUUAGGCAGACACACUACACGGAACUUAUUCAGAAACCAGAUGUGUGCUAAGAAUUCCUUAGAUUUGGUGCUCCAAAAAAUUUCAAAAAAUAUCAAAUUUUUCGGAGUUUGUUAAGCACUGCAAAUUUUGAGAUUUCCCGCAUACCCCUGGCCUAUAGUGUCGUACAUUUUUGAAAACUUGUCAAUUUAUUUUUCCAUAUCUGAAAAUCGUUCAGGCUUCUCACCGAGGACAACGCGCAAAUUAGCAAGACCACCGGUGUGCCGCUCUACGACGGAAUGCUCAACUUUGCUCGUCGCGACUACGACACAGCAGCCGAUACUAUGUACCCAAUCAGGGACAAAAUCGUCCAGAUCGGUGGAUCUAAUUCUCAGCGGGAUCUUUUUGUGCAGACACUGAUACAGUCUUGCAUUUUGAGCAAGGAUCCCAAAAAUUGGGGAUUGACACCUGAGCUGCUGGCGGAGAGGAAUGCCUUGCAUCAUAACUCGUUGGUGGGACUGCGACUUGCUGAUAAGUUUAGAAAUUUGCAUCCGUUGUAAGUUUCUGGAGAGUUUAAGUUAUAAUAUGUAUGUAAUUAUUUUCGAUAUCCUUUUGUUUUUUCAAUAAAUAAAGUUAUUACAUUACAACAGUUUCGGGCCCCAGGAGUUCGUGAUUUUUGCAAUAAGUUGUCAAAGUUCAGAACACGCGAUUUUUUCAUAAUCCGGGAGAUAUCGGCUGCGAUAUGAGACAUACAAGACGGAUGAGUUUUAAAUAACACAAUUUCGCAGCCGACAUUUUACGGGGAAAUUUCGACUGGCAUCACAGUUGUAUUGUGCUGCUUUUAACGACCCUGGAGACGUCGGUUGCUUUUAUAAAACCUGUGAACUUCUAGGCACUCUCUAAAAAUUAGUCACUGCUGGCUUAGUUAUACUCAACUUUUCUUAGACUUUAUAAAUAAAUUUUGGCCAGCGAGAUGUCGGCUGAUGUAUCACUGAAAAUGGGAUAUUUUUCCCAGGAACCCGGGAAAUGUCAGCCGCAAUGUAAAAACCAGUUAGGUGUCGGCUGCUAGUUAUCCAAAUAUAAUGUCGGUGGAUACAUGCUCUAUAUUAUACACUUCCCAUCAACCCGGGAACAGUCCGCUGCUGAUGCCGUUUUGACCUGUAAAGUGUCCUGGGAAGAUGUCGGGUGCUUUUUUUUUAAUAUCAGUUAAAUCAUAACACUCAUUUUGACCCGUAAAGUGUCGUCUGCUAAGCUAUUGUUUCCUGUAUAACCCUGAAAAAUGCCCUUUUUCCCGAAUUGAUUGUUUGAUUCUAAAACCGUUUUUUUCAAUUUUUUUAUCAAACCCCAACUAAUCGUCAAAACUUUCACGUAUUUUCCAGGUGUUAUCAACAUCAGUAUCACAAAUGUCCUGGACACACAAGCUUACCUAUUUCUUUCCAUUUUGCAUGUAUGUUGUUUUUGUCCCAAUGAAGACGCACGUGCUAUAUCUGUUUGUCGUCUAGUCGUCUGGCACUCUCUUCUAGACUGCAUACUCUCUAAUUGUUGACCCUUCUUUUCUUGUUUUCACUUUUCCUUUUUUUAGAUUUGGCAGUUUUAAGAGGUUUUUGAGAGGUUUUUUUUCGAGAAUUUUAUAUGGUUUUUUCGCAUUUUUGGCCGUUGAUAACGUGGUCUUUAGAUUAAAAAUCGUAAAAAUUUGGAAUUUUUUAGAAAAUCUAAAGUGCAAAUUUUACUAAUUUUUAUGUUAAAAAGCUAUGAUUGAAGUUAUACUCCAUUUUAUUUCUCAUAAGGUCACAAUUUUUUUUCUCAACAACUGUGAUUGUCUACUAACUUUGGGUACUUCAAAAUUGCUACAGUAUAUCAAAAAUCGCGAAAAACUAGAAAACUGGUGAUCACAGUUCUUUAAUGUUUAUUUUUUUACUUUUUCAUGUAAAAAUAAAGUCUAAAAUCAGAACUGAAUAAUGUAGAGCCAUUUUUGGAAAUUACCGAAAAUUUUGAAAUUUCCUACCUAGCGAAACUUGCGCGUAGGAUAUGUUGUUUUCCGUGCCGAUUUUAUUAUGAAUUUAGUUUCGAACGGAGCAACUCUAUGUCAACAGUAGAAUAUCGUGCUUUUUCAAUGCAAAAAAAAUCCGAAAAUUCUAAACUUUCCUAUCAAGUCCUCCCUCCCCCACUUGCAUCAUCUAACCCCGUCAUAUCGUUCAUUAGACCUACCGCCCAUUCCUCCUCUCUUCCUUCAGAAAAUGGCCGAAUGGUGUGCCGAUCAUUUGCGCAAUUGCGAAGGCUGGAAGUCGGCUGGUCUGGAACUAUCAACUACGAGUGAUGAGAAUGCGAAAUGGUUGGAUGCCUGCAUUCGACAGCUUGUGUCCUGGUCGGAUUGCACCAGUUUAGGCGGAUUUCAUACAUCGAUCGAGAAGCUUGUGGCUUCGGAUCCUGAAGCAAGUUAGUUUGUUUUUUGUUUAGCACUUGGAGUCUCUGAAUUUUCAGUUAUGGCCCGAACUUUCCUAGUGGGCCUCUCCGGGCUCGGCACAGAAGCCGCUGCUCGAAAUGUCGAAUUUGCCAAGAAAAUGGAUCAACUAGAAAUUGACGCUGAAAAGUAUGGAAACGCCAGAGAAAAGCGACAUGCCAAAGCAGCGAUUUUGUGGGGAAGAGGGUAAGGGCUCCUUUAGGAGAUAUUUUUUUGAAACUUUCCUGUUUUUCAGAAAGCAUCAUGAAGCUGCCAUCGAGUGGGACAAGCUUCUAGAUGAUUACCCAACAGAUUUAAUUGCAGUGAAGUUCUCACACGAUGCUCAUUUCUUCAAUGGAAAUCAGAUAGGGAAGAAGAACGCAAUUGAGAAGGUUAUCCACAAGUGGAAUGCAGAUUUACCAUGCUAUAGGUGAGAUUUAAUUGUUUCUAUUUUCGAAAUAUUUUAGUCUCUAAAAUUGGUUUCAUUUUAAAAUAGCGCCAUCUACAACAAGAAAACUGUCCUAGUAAGCGCUGCGUUCAGAUUUUCCGAAUUUCAAAAAACCAAUGCGUCUAGAGUGGGAUUUGAAUCCAUCUAAAUAAAAGAGGUUAUGGUUCAUAAGGUCUAGGAGUUCAAGCUAGGUUCAGGCCUAUUCACAACUAAAUAUGAAAAUUAAAACAAAAAUAACUAAAUAGGUUUUAUAUCUACAUGCUUCGAAACCGGCUUCUAUCCCCAACAUUUUUUUUCUUUAGCUAUCUCCAUGGCAUGUAUGCUUUUGGCCUUGAAGAAUGUGGUAUCUACGAUGAUGCUGAAACACAAGCAGAUCGGGCCCUACAACUGAACCGAUUUGAUUGCUGGGCUUCCCACGCAAAGGCUCACGUCCUCGAGAUGAACGGGCGGCACAAAGAGGGAAAAGAGUUUAUGUACAAAACGGAGGAUGAUUGGAGG
rnacentral:sRNA from 1 species